UGAUUUGACCGUCCUCCCUAAAACAAAACAACAAUAUUAAAUCUAUUAGCACCCAGCUAUAAACAUCAAUCAUGAAUAUGACAAUUGACAGAGAAAGAGGGAGGAAUUUGUACCUUGUUACGUUCAUCUGAUUCGCAUCCAGUACGGUCGCUGGCUUAUCGUCCGCCAUCUGCAUCCACAUGAUUUUAUUGGUCGCAUCCGGUAGGUCUAGUUUUCCCACAAACGCCUCGCAAUAGAAUCGCGCCGUCUCGCCCAGGUUGCUUAUCAUAUCUUUCGGUUUGAACGUCGGUAGCGGGUAGUCCGGUUUGUCCUCUGGAAAAUAAAGAAAAUACGGAGACCGUUUUAGUGCGAAGGUGUUCGUAUGUGACUGGAAUUUCGAAAGGUGGCAGAAGGUAGUGAAUGUAUGAAGUGUAUCGAGUGAGAAAAAAACUCUAGAAUGAAAAGGCGAUUUGUCUCUGUUAGGAAGUAAGCGUAUGUUCAGAAACUGCUUACUUAACAAAAAUAACCAUGAUAGAAAAAAAUCAUUGAAAUGCUUCCGGAUAUUUGAAAGAGUAUCGUGUUGUCAAGUAUUUACCCCAAUUAAGAAUGAUAAAAGGUACCAUUUGCAUCAUUGUGUUGCAGUAUCGUCAAUCAGCUUCAAAGUUCUUGAAAACCACCCAAAUGCUAAAUGUGAUAUUCAUGGUGAAAACAUCAAGUGCUUAAAGUUAAUGUUCAAAACAAGUGAUAAGACAUUUAUUGCUAACUAUAUCAGCAAUUAUUCUCAAAAAGUGCAGUUUUCAUUGCUCUCCGCAGGAACAAGCGUUACUAAGUGGAUAACGUUUUGAGCAUUUGAAAAGGAUAUCAAGUGAAGGAUCUUCUUGUAGGCUAACCGCAUUCAGAGCAGUCAUUUUUGAAAUCAUUGCGAGGAUGUUUCAGAAGAAACAGUUGUUCCCUCUAUUGACUGCCGCCAAGCGUAGAAAAAGAUACCCAGACCAUUCGUUGAUUUGGGCCUAUCAGAUUGAGAAAAAUAUGUCAGCAUAAAAUUAAUUCUUCGACAAGCCUAUGCAAAGAUUGUUCAAUAGAAGAAAAUACAUCAAUACAAAACCCGGAAGAAGCAGCUUUAAAGUAAAGAAAGCAAUAACUAAGACGAAAAUAACUCUAAAUUUCGUUAAAUGAAUAAAAAUUGCAAAAUAAUUUCUUCAAUUGAAUUAUUGUCAUUUGAAUAUAUCAAACAUUAGUUUUAAAAUUAUUCUGGAAGUUUAUGAUUAUAAUUAGUAGUAAGUUUUCCAAAAUAGUUU